rnacentral:tRNA from 1 species
GGGUAUAUAGCUCAGUGGUAGAAUGCAUGUUUAGCACGCAUGAGGUCCUGGGUUCAAUCCCCUGUACCUCUC